UUUAAUAUGGCAGAUUUAGUGCAAUGAAUUUAAGCUUCAUAUAUAAAAUUUAUAUUUUUAUUAAAA
rnacentral:tRNA from 1 species